rnacentral:rRNA from 1 species
GACGAACGCUGGCGGCGUGCUUAACACAUGCAAGUCGAACGGUGAAGGGGUCUGCUUUUGUGGGCCCUGGAUGAGUGGCGAACGGGUGAGUAACACGUGAGUAACCUGCCCCCUUCUUCUGGAUAACCGCAUGAAAGUGUGGCUAAUACGGGAUAUUCUGGGUCUGUCGCAUGAUGGGUCUGGGAAAGAUUGCGCCUUUGGGUGUUUUUGGUGGGGAUGGGCUCGCGGCCUAUCAGCUUGUUGGUGGGGUGAUGGCCUACCAAGGCGGUGACGGGUAGCCGGCCUGGGAGGGUGGACGGUCACACUGGGACUGGGACACGGCCCAGACUCCUACGGGAGGCAGCAGUGGGGAAUAUUGCACAAUGGGCGCAAGCCUGAUGCAGCGACGCCGCGUGAGGGAUGGAGGCCUUCGGGUUGUAAACCUCUUUCGCCAGUGAAGCAGGCCUGCUCCUUGUGGGUGGGUUGACGGUAGCUGGAUAAGAAGCGCCGGCUAACUACGUG